UCCCUGGUGGCUCAGAUGGUAAAGCAUCUGCCUACAAUGCGGGAGACCUGGGUUCGAUCCCUGGGUUGGGAA
rfam:TPA: Bos taurus chromosome 17, whole genome shotgun sequence.